rnacentral:rRNA from 1 species
AUUGAACGCUGGCGGCAUGCCUUACACAUGCAAGUCGAACGGUAACAGGUCUUCGGAUGCUGACGAGUGGCGAACGGGUGAGUAAUACAUCGGAACGUGCCUAGUAGUGGGGGAUAACUACUCGAAAGAGUGGCUAAUACCGCAUGAGAUCUACGGAUGAAAGCAGGGGAUCGCAAGACCUUGUGCUACUAGAGCGGCCGAUGGCAGAUUAGGUAGUUGGUGGGAUAAAAGCUUACCAAGCCGACGAUCUGUAGCUGGUCUGAGAGGACGAUCAGCCACACUGGGAAUGGGACGCGGCCCAGACUCCUACGGGAGUCAGCAGUGGGGAAUUUUGGACAAUGGGCGCAAGCCUGAUCCAGCAAUGCCGCGUGCAGGAUGAAGGCCUUCGGGUUGUAAACUGCUUUUGUACGGAACGAAAAGCCCCGGGUUAAUACCCUGGGGUCAUGACGGUACCGUAAGAAUAAGCACCGGCUAACUACGUGCCAGCAGCCGCCGUAA